UACGGAGGGGGCAAGCGUUGUUCGGAAUUACUGGGCGUAAAGGGCGCGCAGGCGGCUGCUCAAGUCAGGCGUGAAAGGCCUGGGCUCAACCCGGGAAUUGCGCUUGAGACUGGGCUGGCUUGAGUGCGGGAGAGGAUGGUGGAAUUCCCAGUGUAGAGGUGAAAUGCUUAGAUAUCGUCAAGAACACCGAUAGUGUAGACAGCUUACUAGGCUACAACUGACGCUGAGGCACGAAAGUGUGGGGAUCAAACAGG
rnacentral:rRNA from 1 species